rnacentral:rRNA from 1 species
AUUGAACGCUGGCGGCAUGCCUUACACAUGCAAGUCGAACGGUAACAGGUCUUCGGAUGCUGACGAGUGGCGAACGGGUGAGUAAUACAUCGGAACGUGCCUAGUAGUGGGGGAUAACUACUCGAAAGAGUGGCUAAUACCGCAUGAGAUCUACGGAUGAAAGCAGGGGAUCGCAAGACCUUGUGCUACUAGAGCGGCCGAUGGCAGAUUAGGUAGUUGGUGGGAUAAAAGCUUACCAAGCCGACGUUCUGUAGCUGGUCUGAGAGGACGAUCAGCGACACUGGGACUGAGACACGGCCCAGACUCCUACGGGAGGCAGCAGUGGGGAAUUUUGGACAAUGGGCGCAAGCCUGAUCCAGCAAUGCCGCGUGCAGGAUGAAGGCCUUCGGGUUGUAAACUGCUUUUGUACGGAACGAAAAGCCCCGGGCUAAUACCCUGGGGUCAUGACGGUACCGUAAGAAUAAGCACCGGCUAACUACGUGCCAGCCGCCGCCGUAA